AUGAGAAUUAAAUGGCCGCGGUAUUUUAACCGUGCAAAGGUAGCAUAGUCACUUGUCUCUUAAUUGGAGGCUUGAAUGAAGGGUUGGACGAGAUAUAAACUUUCUUUAUUGUAAUCAGUUGAAUUUGACUUUUGAGUCAAAAGGCUUAAAUAUAUUUAUAGGACGAGAAGACCCUAUAGAAUUUUAUAUUUUUAUUUUAAUAAUUUAUUUGUUUAUGAUUAAAUUUUUUUUAUAAAAAUAUUUUGUUGGGGCGAUGGGAAGAUUUUUUUAACUCUUUUUUAUUUAAUACAUUGAUAUAUGUUUUUUUGAUCCUUUUUUAGAGAUUAAAAGAUUAAAUUACCUUAGGGAUAACAGCGUAAUUCUUUUGGAGAGUUCUUAUCGAUAAAGGAGUUUGCGACCUCGAUGUUGAAUUAAGAUAAG
rnacentral:rRNA from 1 species